CCUACGGGAGGCAGCAGUGGGGAAUUUUGGACAAUGGGGGAAACCCUGAUCCAGCCAUCCCGCGUGUGCCAUGAAGGCCUUCGGGUUGUAAAGCACUUUUGGCAGGAAAGAAACGUCAUGGGCUAACACCCCGUGAAAUUGACGGUACCUGCAGAAUAAGCACCGGCUAACUACGUGCCAGCAGCCGCGGUAAU
rnacentral:rRNA from 1 species